CCUAGCCCUUCAGAGGGGGACAACAGUUGGAAACGACUGCUAAUACCGCAUACGAUCCAAUCUCGGCAUCGGGACUGGAUGAAAGGUGGCCUCUAUUUAUAAGCUAUCACUGAAGGAGGGGAUUGCGUCUGAUUAGCUAGUUGGAGGGGUAACGGCCCACCAAGGCGAUGAUCAGUAGCCGGUCUGAGAGGAUGAACGGCCACAUUGGGACUGAGACACGGCCCAG
rnacentral:rRNA from 1 species